rnacentral:rRNA from 1 species
CGAACGCUGGCGGCGUGCUUAACACAUGCAAGUCGAACGGUGAAGCGCCUUCCUUUUUGGUGGGUGUGGAUGAGUGGCGAACGGGUGAGUAACACGUGAGUAACCUGCCCCCUUCUUCUGGAUAACCGCAUGAAAGUGUGGCUAAUACGGGAUAUUCUGGGUCUGUCGCAUGAUGGGUCUGGGAAAGAUAUUGUUUCGGUGGGGGAUGGGCUCGCGGCCUAUCAGCUUGUUGGUGGGGUGAUGGCCUACCAAGGCGGUGACGGGUAGCCGGCCUGAGAGGGUGGACGGUCACACUGGGACUGAGACACGGCCCAGACUCCUACGGGAGGCAGCAGUGGGGAAUAUUGCACAAUGGGCGCAAGCCUGAUGCAGCGACGCCGCGUGAGGGAUGGAGGCCUGCGGGUUGUGAACCUCUUUCGCCAGUGAAGCAGGCCUGCCUCGUUUGUGGGUGGGUUGACGGUAGCUGGAUAAGAAGCGCCGGCUAACUACGUG